rnacentral:rRNA from 1 species
CCUACGGGAGGCAGCAGUGAGGAAUAUUGGUCAAUGGACGAGAGUCUGAACCAGCCAAGUAGCGUGAAGGAUGACUGCCCUAUGGGUUGUAAACUUCUUUUAUAUGGGAAUAAAAUGUUCCACGUGUGGGAUUUUGUAUGUACCAUAUGAAUAAGGAUCGGCUAACUCCGUGCCAGCAGCCGCGGUAAUACGGAGGAUCCGAGCGUUAUCCGGAUUUAUUGGGUUUAAAGGGAGCGUAGGUGGAUUGUUAAGUCAGUUGUGAAAGUUUGCGGCUCAACCGUAAAAUUGCAGUUGAAACUGGCAGUCUUGAGUACAGUAGAGGAGAGCGGAAUUCGUGGUGUAGCGGUGAAAUGCUUAGAUAUCACGAAGAACUCCGAUUGCGAAGGCAGUUCACUGGACUGCAACUGACACUGAGGCUCGAAAGUGUGGGUAUCAAACAGGAUUAGAUACCCUAGUAGUC